UGGAGGGAUUUUUAUUUUCUCCUAAAGGCAAAAGGGAGCUCUGCAGGUUCUUGAAUGGAGGAGUAACAUAGACUUGUGUGUUUAAGAAGGUUAUUUUGGAGGGAAAGAGCAGCCGAAGUGGGAUCUGAACUCACAUGUUUGGGUUACAAAUCCAAUGCUGGUUUCACUGUGCCAGGAGAAUUUAGCCAAGUUUUGGAGUCUUGCCUUCUUGCAAAAGGUAUCCUUCCUGCCCAUAACGUUUUGGCGCCCAGAAGAAAGAGGCAAACCCCAGGGGUACACAUUGAUCCCUAUAAGAUUUUGACACCCAACGUUUUUGGCUCUCCUGAAAGCUACUCCUGUACUCCGGAUCAUCCACAAGGACACAGCUUCUCAGGGGCUGACUCUCCCCUUGUGACCUGUCUGCCCAUCAGGAGAAACAGUCGCUGGACAUCCUUCAUAUCUCCAAGCAGAUUCCCAGCUACCUAGGACCCAAGCAUUCACAGCCUUUCCUUCCCUGCUAUCUUAACUCCUUUUACUUUAGCUCUUAACUACCUGACCAUAACUAUUUCUUUCCUUAAAUUUUGGGUCUUCUCCUAUGUUUUAAAUCAUGCACACCCAGCCAGCUGGACAUAUAAUUCUCUGAUUCAUCUUUUGAGUUACUUCUAGGGUAAAAGCACUCAUGUGAAUCCAGAUGCCAGAUGCCACCAUAACCAUCCCAGCCUGACGCUCUGGACAUGGCCUACAGGCAAUACCUCUCUCUCCAAAUGGAUAGGCAGGGACAACUCUAUGCCCAUUAUCAGCUGUGAAGAAGUUACAGAAUACAGAGACUACCGUCCCUUUUCCCUUACAUAUUAGGAGAGGGGGAAGAUGACAUGGACACUGUACCCCCCAGAAACCCAGGCAAACUAUUAUCAGGGAAACUCCCUCGCUCCCUUGCAUCCUUAUGACUAAACCUAGAAACACCCAAUGACCCCACCUGGGGUCCUGAGAUGUUCAGCUUCUUUUGUCCUCUAGAUUUAAGAUGGACAAAGAGAUGAAUCUUUAUGCCUCCAGGCAGGCCCCAGUCAGAUGACCACUUCACCCCACCAAAUGCCUGAGGGACUAAUACUCUAAGUCACAUCCACACCAGGACAUAGCAUCUAAAGAGUAUAUAAACCCUAGAACUGAUGUAGUCUGGGGGACAGCCUUUCCACCCAUGCUGUCCCCAUGGAGGAACAGCCUUUCCAUUCAUGCUGUCCUCCCAGGAACUGCUCCCAUCUUGCUGUUCCACCUUACUAUCCUCCUGGCUAUUCUCAACAUUACUUUCUAAAUUAAUAAAUUUCUCUUUUUGUUUUUAAGCCA
ensembl:lncRNA